GCCGUCGAUGAUGAGGAGAUGGUACAAUUUAUUAUAAACGGCCUUGAUUUUGAUUACAAUCCAAUUGUAUCCUCUAUACUUGGUCGUGUUGACU
rnacentral:snoRNA from 1 species